ensembl:lncRNA
UGAUCUUCCCCUACUUUGGAGAAACCAAGGUAACCACUGACACGUGCUCCCUUGCAAGGGUACAGCCAGAAAAAGUGCUAUCUUAAAAUACAUCCCUUUAAAAAAUAUAUCCCUUGUAACCUCAAGACACUGUGGACUUAGUCACCAACUUCUCUCUUGUUCACCUGUUCCUGAAUGUCUGUCUGCAGAGGCCAGGACAACUUUCUGUCUGGAGCCUGCUCGAUGUUUUAGAGCUCAACCUGAUCUCUUGGGCCCACACAGAAAUUCUCAUUGGUUCAACAUAGAUGGCCAGUAGAAUUAGACUUUGAACUGAGCCUCUGUGUUUUAUUUUGUUUUAUUUUGUUGCUUGGGAUUGAACCCAGAGCUUCACACAUACUGGGCAAGUGCUCUACCAUUGAGCUAUAUCCCAAGCCCUCCUCCCUCUUUUUAUUCUGAGACAAGGUCUCAUAUAUCUGAUCAGGCUUGCUUUAAACUAUAUAGUCCAGGCAGGUCUUAAACUUAAACUCUUGCUUUAGGCUUCCAAGUAGCUUGGAUUACAGGCUUGAACUACCAGCCCAAGCUGAGCUAAACCUCCUGACCUGAGCUCUUCAGAGGAAUCCUCUUGCUCUGAGGCCCCUGGCCUUCUCUAAACUACAUGACUUCCCCCUCCCUCUGACUCCUGGGGGAGCUGUGGCUUCAGUCCCCUGGCAGAUUCCUGUCUGUGCCUUUCCUAUUCCAAACCCCUUCACCAUUUUAUACCCCUUUGUGAUCAGAGCUUUCGGAUAUCUACAAAGACUGUAAGCUUCCUCUUCUGGGGUUGACCCAGGGCCCUUUCUCUUAUUUUUCCAAAGGGGAGAACAGGGGUACUGAUUUUAAUGAUGGCUAGGAACAAAACUUUCCAGAGAUAAGAGGACUGGGUGUAUUUUCUUCUGAAUAAACAUGAUGGGUGAGAAUGUUGUAAUAAAAGUGAUGAUGAAAUCUUUUCUGUGGCCCUAUGAGUGUGCUAACUGACUGGUUUCCAUAUCAGGCUUGGGACGAUUGCAUGGCAGUAAGGGGGAGGUGGACCAAGGAGGAGACUGGCAUAGGGGAGGGACACAGGUACCAGCCAGGAUGCCCAGAACUUGUGACUCUGUGAAACUUCUUUCCAUGUUGGGAGGCAGAGAGGCAGGAAACUUUCGAUAGUAGGGAGAAGGGCAGGCUGUAAUGCUCUUUCAAAAAGGUGAGGCAUGUUGGGUAUUCAGAAACAUCUUUCUGAGAAGAGAGGCACAUGAGUGGCUGCAUGCAAAAUAUAGAAAAAUGGGGGGGGGGGUCAGGCUUGCUUUGAACUAUCCUCUGAGCAUCCUCUAACCCAGCUCAUAGCAUAACCAAGACUAUGUGAGGUCUACUCUGGAUCUGGCUACCAAAUCCCAGAUUACAGCCAUAUAUAAACACUUGCUCACACCAGAUUCUAGGUGGGGGAGAGGUGCUGCCGGACUUUCAGAGGCCUCUAGAACACCCCUAUUUUGUCUAACUUCCCUAAUGGAAACUUCUCCCUAGCAUUAAGGAAACUAAGGGACAAGGCUUGAUCUUUGCCCAAAAUGAGGUGGCUGUUAGGGGGAUCAGAGAAAAGCAAGAUGGUGAUUGAACAUAAAAGUCUAGUUAGCCUCCAUUUGAUAACAUGUUUUACAACACUAUCAUCGUCAACGGUCUGGCCCUUGUUAGUGGUGUCUGGAAGUAAUAGAUGCUGGGAAUGGAGUCCUUGGAAACAUUAGAGGGAGG